rnacentral:rRNA from 1 species
CCUACGGGUGGCAGCAGUGAGGAAUAUUGGUCAAUGGACGGAAGUCUGAACCAGCGAUGCCGCGUGCAGGAAGACGGCUCUAUGAGUUGUAAACUGCUUUUGUACAAGGGUAAACCUGAAUACGUGUAUUCAGCUGUACGUACUGUACGAAUAAGGAUCGGCUAACUCCGUGCCAGCAGCCGCGGUAAUACGGAGGAUCCAAGCGUUAUCCGGAUUUAUUGGGUUUAAAGGGUGCGUAGGCGGAUUGAUAAGUUAGAGGUGAAAUGUCCGGGCUUAACUCGGGAACUGCCUCUAAUACUGUUGAGCUAGAGAGUAGAUGCGGUAGGCGGAAUGUAUGGUGUAGCGGUGAAAUGCUUAGAGAUCAUACAGAACACCGAUUGCGAAGGCAGCUUACCAAUCUAUAUCUGACGUUGAGGCACGAAAGCGUGGGGAGCAAACAGGAUUAGAUACCCCUGUAGUC